UUACAUGAUAAUUUUGGAUCCAAAUGCACUUUUCCCCUAAAUUUCAUCAUUUUUCAUCCUCUAACAAUGCAUGCUAGGUAGAUGAAAUUUCAUGGUUCUUUCCCCUCUCCUUUGACCACUAACUAUUGUUGAUGUGUUUGUUUAUGAGGAAAAAGGCAAGAAAGGAAAACAGAGCGGGCGCUCCUUGUAAAAGAGGAGCGGGUGCUCCUGAACGUCCCUGUACAUGACAAAGCAAACCAGAAAGUUGGAGCUAGGAGGGAGCCACCAAGGAGCUGGAGCUCCUAGCAUGAGGAGCAAAGGAGCGGGAGCUCUCAAGGAAAAAGGAGCGAGCGCUCCUUUAUGCGUUGAGGAUGGCAAAGGAGGGCAGAAACUUUGGAGCUACCAAGGAGCUACCAUUGAGCAAGCGCUCCUUGGAACACAUUAUACAAGGAGCGGGCGCUCCUUUAUAUUGAGGAGCGGGCGCUCCCCACCUGCUGGGCAGCCACUUUUGUUGGCAGAAGCUUUGGAGCGACCUAGGAGCUACCAAAGAGCUCCCACUCCAGCGCCUCAUUUUGUUAGGAGCGGGAACUCCUGGUUUACAAGGAGCGGGCGCUCCUUGUUAUUUUCGCGAUAUUUUUAUGUUAAACGCUGAUUUUAGCCUCGUUUUUGUGGGGAUAUAAAUACCUUUUUCACUUAAUGACAAAAAAAACUUUAAUUCCAGUAAAUCAUUUUUAGAGUGUUCUUAGCUAAAUCUAGUGAGAUAAAGUAAAGUUCUAGAGAGAGAAAGUAGAUUUCCAUGGUUUUGUAGCUUGGAUUAUGACAAAAAUUAUGGUUUUUAUGCAAGAUCUUCAUUUCUUCUUCAUGGUUUAACUUUGUAUGCCAAGUGGACGUGCCUUUCCUUUGACUCCAUAUAAUCCAGAGUUGGAGAGGACAGUCAAGGCCAUACGACGAGGGCUUAGAGCCGCGACGAACCCAACAAGCAUCAUCUUCCACUCCGGUCAAUAUUGAGGACUUUGUACACGAAGAAGAAGUUACCACUCCAAGAUCUUCUCAAGGAAGUUCUCCUCACUCUUCUAGAUCAUCAAGUCCUACUACUAGUGAUCGCUCAAUGGCGGAUCCUCCUAGAGACUUGAGAAGCUAUGGUGUUCCGGGUCCUUUUGAGUCAAGAAGCGCCAUAACUCAACCCACUACCCAACCAAUGACUUUGAGCUUCGCCCCGCUUUGAUUGGCUUGAUAGAAAGGAAUCAAUUUAGUGGAGCAAAGGAUGAGGAUCCACAAGCUCAUUUGCAAACAUUCACGGACUAUUGUUCUACGGUCAAACACAAUGGUGUCUCUCAAGACUACAUUCGCCUAAGUCUCUUCAAUUCCCCCAAGCUUGCCAAUUGCUUGUCCUCAAGCAAUCAACUAGAGAAGGGAUACAUGUAAGAGAGGGCAAGGGAUACAUGAUAGAGAGCUAUCAAAAACCAAAGUGCUUUUUACGAUUUCGCCCAAAUCGAGUAAUGAGAAAAUGGUCCACAAUCAAAGAACAAAGAGCAAAUUUUUAAGAUCAUUUCCUUCCAAAUGUGCUCAAAGGUUAGGAUGGAGGAAAAGACUAAACAAGAUUGCAAUUAGGACACUUUCUUAGGCUUGUUACUAGCUCAUUAGAGACACUUCUAGCUAUUCUAAAGACAAGGGCUCUUCAAAGGCAAAAAUAUUCCAAAUACUAGUCCACUUUCCUUAAAAACACAAUUGAGCCUUAGACUCCACUCUACUCAAAACUUAAGAAAAAUAAACUAAGUGUGGGAGGCAUCCACAAAUUGACCUCUUUUAUUGAACUUUCUAUUCUUUUUGUGCUUUUCAUUUUGCACUUUUUUUCUUUUUCACGCCUUUUUUAACUGUUUUUGGCUUUUUCUUUUGUUCCCUUAUUAUGGGACUUCAUUACACAAAUAUGAGACUAACUUUGCAUAGAAGACUAUAAGCACUUGUGGCUUUUGUGCCACUUAUUACAAAUAACAAAAAUUAAGUUUAAGUUUCUUGUAGAGUUUUAUUUCGGGACACAAGGAGUGCAUUCAAGGACACAUGGGACCGCAAAGUAGAAGCAAGAAUACCCAGCAUGAGCAACUUAGUCAAAAUUCAAGACUAGACGAGCAAUUGAGCGUUCAUUAGCUUCAUUUAGUAUACUCUAAUGCAAUCAUGAUUAAGCAAAUCCUAGAUGACUUAACCCAUGCUCACAUUCUUCUAGAGCAAACCUCUAUUCAUGCACUCUAAAUUCAAAGAGAGGGAACCAAAUGACUCAUUCUCGAAAGUUAUUCUUGGGCAAGAACCAAAUUUUUUUCUUUUUUUUUCUUUUUUUUUUUUUGAUUUGUUUUUGUUUUUAUGCAAAUGUUUUUCAUGCAACUAGUCUAUGAAAGCAAUUUAAACUAUUUACAAGUUAGAAGUGGGAGAAGCUUACCAUGAAGGAUUGUUGAAUCAUCAUUAGAAGGAUCAAAGAGACAAUAAAUUGUUAGUUUGACAAAAAUAAAAAUAUGUACGUAUCAUUGUUAACAAUCCAUUGUCUCUUGGUGGGACAACUUUCAUACAAACCAAAAAGCAUAGAUCACCCACCUCACUACCACUAAUCUUCCUAUUUCCUCAACAAGA